rnacentral:lncRNA from 1 species
GUUGUUGUUUUUGUUUUUGUUGUUGUUGUUGUUGUUGUUGUCGUUAUUGUUGUUCUUGUUGUUGUCGUCGACGUCAUCAUCGUCGUCGUCCUCAUUGUUGUUGUUGUUGUUGUUAUUUUUGUUGUUGUUGUUUUUGUUGUUGCUCGUGUUGUUGUUGUUGUUGUUGUCGUGGUCGUCGUCUUCGUUGUUGUUUUUUUGUCGUUGUCGUCAUCUUCGUUGUUAUCGC